UAUGGAGUGCGGUCAGACACUCUUCUUGCCCGUGUAAAGGUUGCUUGCCGUUACAACCGCUUUUUGCUGGAUAUAGGGCGUAGCGAUAAGAUGCUUUACAGUUAUUCCCGUGUGACGGAUUGCCGCAAGCACUUCGGCAGUAAAGGAUAUUGUAGAGCUUUGUGUAUUUAUCUUCGGUUUGAAAGUUGGAAAAACAUAUACAGGACUUUUGCAGAACUGUUGAAAAGUAAGUUUCAUUGUACUUCCAUAACCAAGGUUUUAUAAAUAAUGUUUUACAAUGUCAGAAUCCCGCCUCCAUAAAAGCUAUCUGAAUGCGCGUGUCAAUGUAUUCUUUUACCUUGUCACCCUUUUCAUCUCCUUUUUCUCCAGGAAGAUAUUUCUUGAGAAACUGGGGGCGGACUUUGUCGGGCUGACGAGUACGAUGCAGAACCUGCUUGGCUUUCUCAAUCUGGCGGAGCUGGGCAUCGGAGCUUCCAUCGGCUAUGUGCUUUACAAACCGAUUUUCGACGGAAACCGGGACAGGAUAAAGGAGAUUGUCUCGGUACUGGCUUAUCUCUAUCGUAACGUAGGACUGCUGAUUUUGGGUGCGGGCUUGCUUUUGGCCUGCUUCCUGCCCUAUAUAUUCGCCGAUGCCGGCAUUCGCCUCGGAGUAAUCUAUUUUGCUUAUUUUGCAUUUUUGACUUCCGCUCUCAUCAGUUAUUUUGUUAAUUACCGGCAAACCCUGCUGGGCGCCGACCAGCGCAACUAUGUAGUCACCGUUUAUUUUCAAACGGCCAAUAUCAUCAAGAUUCUCCUGCAAAUAGCAUUGGUAUGCUACGUGGGCAGCCUUUAUUUAGUAUAGCAUGAGGUAGAGCGACUGAUUGGAUGCGAGGGCUUCACCGCCUAUCAAGUCCAGAUAAACUCCGAAUGCGUGCUAUAUAUUGAUAAGGAGUGAGGGCGCGGGUGCUAAGGUCCGCGUCCGAGAGGAGAAGAAUCCAGACCAUCAGCUAAGGUCCCCAAAUAACAGUUAAGUUGAACUAACGAAGUCGGACUGCAGAGACAGCUAGGAUGUUGGCUUGGAAGCAGCCAUUCAUUUAAAGAGUGCGUAACAGCUCACUAGUCGAGGAGUUUGGCGUGGAUAAUAAUCGGGCAUCAAGUAUUCUACCGAAGCUUUGGGAUGUGUAAACAUCGGUAGGGGAGCAUUCCACUCGGCGUUGAAGGUGAGGCGUGAGCCUUGCUGGAGCGUGUGGAAAAGCAAAUGUAGGUAUAAGUAACGAUAAAGGGGGUGAGAAACCCCCUCGCCGAAAGACUAAGGUUUCCUGAUCAACGCUAAUCGGAUCAGGGUUAGUCGGGUCCUAAGGCUCAGCCGAACGGCGAGGCCGAUGGCAGAACCGGUUAAUAUUCCGGUACUACCUCAAGGAGUGACGUGGAGACGGAGCAGUGACAGUGCCGCGGACUGACGGAAUAGUCCGUUAAAGGGUGUAGAUGUUGAUUCCUGCAGGCAAAUCCGCAGGAAGAGUCGAACCUGACAGUAUGGAGCGUCCUUCGGGACAAUCCAAUAGUGCAUGUAAACAUACUCCCGAGAAAAUCCGCUAAACUUAAUCCUUGUGGUACCCGUACCGCAAACGGACACACGUAGUCGGGUUGAAUAUACUAAGGCGCUUGAGUGAUUCACGGUUAAGGAACUAGGCAAACUGACCCUGUAACUUCGGGAUAAAGGGUCCUCAGGGUGACUUGAGGCGCAGAGAAUCGGUCCAGGCAACUGUUUAACAAAAACACAGGGCUGUGCAAAAUAGAAAUAUGAAGUAUACAGCCUGACACCUGCCCGGUGCUGGAAGGUUAAGAGGAGAUGUCAUCGCAAGAGAAGCAUUGAAUUGAAGCCCCAGUAAACGGCGGCCGUAACUAUAACGGUCCUAAGGUAGCGAAAUUCCUUGUCGGGUAAGUUCCGACCUGCACGAAUGGUGUAAUGAUCUGGACGCUGUCUCAACCGUGAGCUCAGUGAAAUUGUAGUAUCGGUGAAGAUGCCGAUUACCCGCGAUGGGACGAAAAGACCCCGUGAACCUUUACUAUAGCUUAACAUUGAAUUUGGGUAAUUGAUGUGUAGGAUAGGCCGGAGGCUUCGAAGCAGGUACGCCAGUAUUUGUGGAGCCGCUGUUGAAAUACGGCCCUUUGAUUAUUUGAGUUCUAACCCGCGGCUGCGGGGACACUGUUUGGUGGGUAGUUUGACUGGGGUGGUCGCCUCCAAAAGCGUAACGGAGGCUUCUAAAGGUGCCCUCACGACGAUUGGUAACCGUCGGCAGAGUGUAAUGGCAUAAGGGCGCUUGACUGGGAGACUAACAAGUCGAUCAGGUAGGAAACUAGAGCAUAGUGAUCCGGUGUUUCUGUAUGGAAAGGACAUCGCUCAAAGGAUAAAAGGUACUCCGGGGAUAACAGGCUGAUCCCUCCCAAGAGCUCAUAUCGACGGAGGGGUUUGGCACCUCGAUGUCGGCUCGUCACAUCCUGGGGCUGGAGAAGGUCCCAAGGGUUGGGCUGUUCGCCCAUUAAAGUGGCACGCGAGCUGGGUUCAGAACGUCGUGAGACAGUUCGGUCUCUAUCUAUCGUGGGCGUAUGAAAUUUGCGUGGCUCUGACACUAGUACGAGAGGACCGUGUUGGACUGACCUCUGGUUUACCGGUUGUGCCGCCAGGUGCAUUGCCGGGUAUCUAAGUCGGGAUUGGAUAAGUGCUGAAAGCAUCUAAGUACGAAGCCAGCCACAAGAUUAGAUUUCUUAGGGUCGUCAUAGACGAUGACGUUGAUAGGAUGCAGGUGUACAGGCAGCGAUGUCAUAGCCGAGCAUUACUAAUUGCCCGUUCACUUUUGGUU
rnacentral:rRNA from 1 species